rnacentral:rRNA from 1 species
UGCAGUCGACGGCAGCACAGUGGUAGCAAUACCAUGGGUGGCGAGUGGCGGACGGGUGAGUAAUGCAUCGGGACCUACCUGAACGUGGGGGAUAACGUAGGGAAACUUACGCUAAUACCGCAUACGUCCUACGGGAGAAAGCGGGGGACCUUCGGGCCUCGCGCGGUCAGACGGACCGAUGUUCGAUUAGCUAGUUGGUAGGGUAAUGGCCUACCAAGGCGACGAUCGAUAGCUGGUCUGAGAGGAUGAUCAGCCACACUGGAACUGAGACACGGUCCAGACUCCUACGGGAGGCAGCAGUGGGGAAUAUCGGACAAUGGGGGCAACCCUGAUCCAGCAAUGCCGCGUGUGUGAAGAAGGCCUUCGGGUUGUAAAGCACUUUCGGUGGGGACGAAAAGCUUGAGAUUAAUACCCUUAAGUAUUGACUUAACCCAAAGAAGAAGCACCGGCUAACUCUGUGCCAGCAGCCGCGGUAAUACAGAGGGUGCAAGCGUUAAUCGGAAUUACUGGGCG